AGUUUGUGGCAAUUCUGUAAAUAAAAUCAUAUGAAGGGUUAUUCAACUAAAGCUGCACAGCCUGUUAAACCACCUAUUUAGCACGUUUUAGUUAAACUAAACCCACUAAGAGUCAAAUAAAAUCUCAAUAUAAUUUAACAAAUCUAUCUAUAUAUAUAUGAAAAUGGAGUUUUAACGUUAAUUUCUGUAAAUUUUAAAUAAACGUGAUCAACCCAAAUAGUAAUGGUUAAAGUCAGUUUUUUUUUUUUCCUACAAAAUCUCAACUAAUUAAAUAACCCAUUUCCCACAAUUCUUGGCCGCUUACCCAUUAUCCCUCUUCACACAAUGCAUCUGUUUCUGAUUUUGGAUCAUAACCGUUGUCAUCUUCCACUCUCUGCUCACCCGUUGUCUGUCAUCCACAGAAGGAACGUCGCCGCUGACCAUCACCUUGCAACACUGUACAAAACAUUCACCAAUUUUCCCCCUUUCUCAGCAAUCGAUACAGAAACUACCACCUCGAUCUCCUAUUUCUUUUCUAUUCAAUAAUUUUCUGAAUUCAAUCCAUCUCUUUUUCGAUCAAUCUCUUGAAUCCAAAUAAUAUAAUAAUGGCUACUUCUUUUCAACCCUCCUUCUCCUCCCGUCCCCUCUUCCACCACUGCUAAAACCACCGUACAUCCACAGAUUCACGUGUUGUGCUCCAUCGUCGAUACUCUUGCAUCAUCAACAUUAGAUUCUCCAAAAUGAAGACAGUUAGCUGUGGUGUGGGCACUUACACCGGAGGCAUAAGAACAGAAUUGUCGUCAUCGGUUUCGUCGGGGAAUUUGUUUGGGAAUCACACAUUGAUCUCAUUAUGCAUAUGUUGUCGAGCCCAUUUUGUUGGAAGUGGAUUAUAUCUAUCCAUUCACCAGUGACAUUUAUCGUGAUCCUCUUGAGCAUCCUCAGAAUGAGGAUAUGUGAACCCAAUUGGCGUAGGCGUGAGGAGUUGCUAUGACGAAGGAAAACGGACAACUGAAACUUUGACUAUAGACUAUCACAAAGGUGUUGGUAACGAGGUAAACAUUAUGAAUCCUGCUAUGUUCAAUUUAUCAACACUAAUAUGUUGCUUUUUUAUGAAUGCUCUAUAUUCUUCAUUGCUGCUUUUGUUAAGUAAAUAAGAUUGGAGUUAUUGUGGAGCUGGCCAGUGCCCAACGAGAUACUGACACUCGAGAUUAGAUCGGCAGGGCAUAAUGUGUGUGUCUGUCAAUGAUAUUCACCUUCAUCACUGCCCAGUGCUUCCUCAAAAUGCUCAGCUUCAUGAAAUUAUGUAUGUUCAUAUUCUUUUCCUUCUUCCUCUUGAUCAUGACUAUUUUUAUCUACUUUUCUUACCUGAGACUAAAGGGAAGAAAUUGCUGCUGUUUGGAACUCUCAUCCCUACUGGAAAAGAUUCGUCCACCAAGACGACCACAAAAAUCACGAUAUGGCUUUGAUUUGAUACAUCUAUGUACCACAUUUUAUUUUUUGUUUUUCUUUCAUCAGUGACCACUUGCAAUGUAUAUGUAUAUAGGACCAUUUAGUUGUUUGAUUCUUUAUUUUUAGUGUUUAUGUUUAUGUUUUACAA